rnacentral:rRNA from 1 species
UACGUAGGGAGCAAGCGUUGUCCGGAAUUACUGGGCGUAAAGGGUGCGUAGGCGGCGCAGUUAGUCAGAAGUGAAAUAUCGGGGCUUAACCCCGGGGCUGCUUCUGAUACUGCUGUGCUCGAGUGCAGGAGAGGUAAGUGGAAUUCCUAGUGUAGCGGUGAAAUGCGUAGAUAUUAGGAGGAACACCAGUGGCGAAGGCGACUUACUGGACUGUAACUGACGCUGAGGCACGAAAGCGUGGGUAGCAAACAGG